CGGAGGGUGCAAGCGUUAUCCGGAUUCACUGGGUUUAAAGGGUGGCGUAGGUGGGCAAGUAAGUCAGUGGUGAAAUCUCCGGGCUUAACCCGGAAACUGCCAUUGAUACUAUUUGUCUUGAAUACUGUGGAGGUCAGCGGAAUAUGUCAUGUAGCGGUGAAAUGCUUAGAUAUGACAUAGAACACCAAUUGCGAAGGCAGCUGGCUACACAAAUAUUGACACUGAGGCACGAAAGCGUGGGGAUCAAACAGGAUUAGAUACCCUGGUAGUCCACGCCCUAAACUAUGGAUACUCGACAUUUGCGAUAAACUGCAAGUGUCUGAGCGAAAGCAUUAAGUAUCCCACCUGGGAAGUACGAUCGCAAGAUUG
rnacentral:rRNA from 1 species